rnacentral:pre_miRNA from 1 species
AAUAAUUUUAUGCCACAUCAGUACUUUUAUCCUGAAUUUCAGGAUUUUAUCCUGAAAAAAUCAAAUCUAAAUUAAAAUAUUGAAAUUUAGGAUAAGAAUACUGAUGUGGCAUAAAACUAUU